AUUAUACUCCCUUUGUCCCAAAAUUCUUGUCUUAGAUUUGUCUAAAUACGGAUGUAUCAAGUCACGUUUUAGUAUUAGAUACAUCCGUAUCUAGACUAAUCUAAGACAAGAAUUUUGGGACGGAGGGAGUAAAUC
rnacentral:pre_miRNA from 1 species